GACAGAGGUGCCAAGCGUUAGGCGGAAUCACUGGGCUUAAAGCGUGUGUAGGCGGAUCGUUAAGUACCUUGUGAAAUCCCACGGCUCAACCGUGGAACUGCUGGGUAUACUGGCGGUCUUGAGCCACCUAGGGGCGAGCGGAACAAGCGGUGGAGCGGUGAAAUGCGUAGAUAUCGCUUGGAACGCCAACGGUGAAAACAGCUCGCUGGGGGUGUGCUGACGCUGAGACACGAAAGCCAGGGGAGCGAACGGG
rnacentral:rRNA from 1 species